CCGGGGUCAACUCGGAGGAAGGUGGGGACGACGUCAAGUCAUCAUGCCCCUUAUGUCUUGGGCUGCACACGUGCUACAAUGGCCGGUACAAUGAGCUGCGAUACCGCAAGGUGGAGCGAAUCUCAAAAAGCCGGUCUCAGUUCGGAUUGGGGUCUGCAACUCGACCCCAUGAAGUCGGAGUCGCUAGUAAUCGCAGAUCAGCAUUGCUGCGGUGAAUACGUUCCCGGGCCUUGUACACACCGCCCGUCACGUCACGAAAGUCGGUAACACCCGAAGCCGGU
rnacentral:rRNA from 1 species